AAGAAAUGAAGCUUCGGUAGAUUUUCAUUAUGGAAAGCGGCGGACGGGUGAGUAACGCGUAGGCAACCUGCCCUGUACAGGGGGAUAGCCACCCGAAAAGGUGAUUAAUACCCCAUGAUGCAAGAGAUACACAUGUAUCACUUGUCAAAGAUUUAUCGGUAUGGGAUGGGCCUGCGUCUGAUUAGCUAGUUGGUAGGGUAACGGCUUACCAAGGCAACGAUCAGUAGCCGACCUGAGAGGGUGAUCGGCCACAUUGGAACUGAGACACGGUCCAAACUCCUACGGGAGGCAGCAGUGGGGAAUAUUGCACAAUGGGGGAAACCCUGAUGCAGCAACGCCGCGUGAAGGAAGAGGGCCUUCGGGUUGUAAACUUCUGUCCUAGGGGAAGAAACAAAUGACAUUACCCUUGGAGGAAGCCCCGGCUAACUACGUGCCAGCAGCCGCGGUAAUACGUAGGAGGCGAGCGUUAUCCGGAAUUAUUGGGCGUAAAGAGUGCGUAGGUGGCAUCUUAAGCGCAGGGUUUAAGGCAAUGGCUCAACCACUGUUCGCCUUGCGAACUGGGGUGCUUGAGUGCAGGAGUGGAAAGUGGAAUUCCUAGUGUAGCGGUGAAAUGCGUAGAUAUUAGGAGGAACACCAGUGGCGAAGGCGACUUUCUGGACUGUUACUGACGCUGA
rnacentral:rRNA from 1 species